rnacentral:rRNA from 1 species
ACUCCUACGGGAGGCAGCAGUGGGGAAUAUUGGACAAUGGGGGAAACCCUGAUCCAGCCAUGCCGCGUGUGUGAAGAAGGCCUUCGGGUUGUAAAGCACUUUCAGUGGGGAGGAAAGGUUGAUGGUUAAUACCUACAGCUGUACGUACCCACAGAAGAAGCACCGGCUAACUCCGUGCCAGCAGCCGCGGUAAUACGGAGGGUGCAAGCGUUAAUCGGAAUUACUGGGCGUAAAGCGUGCGCAGGCGGUCUGUUAAGCGAGAGUGAAAGCCCCGGGCUCAACCUGGGAACUGCAUUUCGAACUGGCAGACU